UUCUUCUUUUUCUUCUUCCUUUCUUUCUUCUUCUUCCUUGUUCGGCCCCCCACCGACUUCUUUGCUGCUGCCGACGCUUCCUCCGCCUACGGUGCGACGGUCGACGACGCUUCUCCCUUUUCUUUCUCUCUUUCUUCUUUGCUUGCUUUUUUUAUUUUCGUGGGUGUUUUUCUUUGAUGAUUUUUUUGCUUGAUUUGCCUUCUUUAGCGGUGGUAGAUGGGAGUAUGCCAGUGGUGGCAGUUUGACGACGCACGGUGGCGAUGAGGCUACUGUUUUUGCUUGAUUUCUUUUACUUUUUCUUGUUUUUUUUUGCUUGGUUUUUCUUUUUUGGCUGCCCUUUUUGGGGGUUUUAAAACCCCUUUUAUUUUGAUUUUUCUUCUCUUUUUUUGCAGGUUGCAGGUGGCUUGGGAUGGGUAGGCCGGCCGCCGCCGUUGCAGGCGCAAGUUGUGCUGGUUGCUAUCAGAAGGAUCAAAAUGUAAAUUCAGUAAAAGUUUUGGGGCCAAAACGUAAUUUUAAGAAAGUGUAG
rnacentral:lncRNA from 1 species